rnacentral:rRNA from 1 species
UACGUAGGGUGCAAGCGUUGUCCGGAUUUAUUGGGCGUAAAGAGCUCGUAGGCGGCUCACUAAGUCGGAUGUGAAAACUCCAGGCUCAACCUGGAGACGCCAUUCGAUACUGGUGUGGCUUGAGUUCGGUAGGGGAGCACGGAAUUCCUGGUGUAGCGGUGAAAUGCGCAGAUAUCAGGAGGAACACCAAUUGCGAAGGCAGCUCGCUGGGACGUUACUGACGCUGAGACGCGAAAGCGUGGGGAGCAAACAGG